AUUGAACGCUGGCGGCAGGCCUAACACAUGCAAGUCGAACGAGUGGCGGACGGGUGAGUAAUGUCUGGGAAACUGCCUGAUGGAGGGGGAUAACUACUGGAAACGGUAGCUAAUACCGCAUACCAUCGGAUGUGCCCAGCUGGGAUUAGCUAGUAGGUGGGGUAACGGCUCACCUAGGCGACGAUCCCUAGCUGGGCUGAGAGGAUGAUCAGCCACACGGUGCAUGAGACACGGCCAAGCCUCCUACGGGUGUCAGCAGUGGGGAAUAUUGCAAAAUGGGCGCAAGCCUGAUGCAGCCAUGCCGCGUGUAUGAAGAAGGCCUUAGGGUUGUAAAUUACUUUCAGCGGGGAGGCGUUACCCGCAGAAGAAGCACCGGCUAACUCCGUGCCAGCAGCCGCGGUAAUAC
rnacentral:rRNA from 1 species